AAAAUGCGAUAAGUAAUGUGAAUUGCAGAAUUCAGUGAAUCAUCGAAUCUUUGAACGCACAUUGCGCCCGCCAGUAUUCUGGCGGGCAUGCCUGUUCGAGCGUCAUUUCAACCCUCAAGCCCCCGGGUUUGGUGUUGGGGAUCGGGCUGCGGUUCUACCGCGUCCCGGCCCCGAAAUCUAGUGGCGGUCUCGCUGCAGCCUCCAUUGCGUAGUAGCUAACACCUCGCAACUGGAACGCGGCGCGGCCAAGCCGUUAAACCCCCAACUUCUGAAUGUUGACCUCGGAUCAGGUAGGAAUACCCGGUGAACUUAAGC
rnacentral:misc_RNA from 1 species